GGUUUCCGUAGGUGAACCUGCGGAAGGAUCAUUAAAGAGUAAGGGUGCUCAGCGCCCGACCUCCAACCCUUUGUUGUUAAAACUACCUUGUUGCUUUGGCGGGACCGCUCGGUCUCGAGCCGCUGGGGAUUCGUCCCAGGCGAGCGCCCGCCAGAGUUAAACCAAACUCUUGUUAUUUAACCGGUCGUCUGAGUUAAAAUUUUGAAUAAAUCAAAACUUUCAACAACGGAUCUCUUGGUUCUCGCAUCGAUGAAGAACGCAGCGAAAUGCGAUAAGUAAUGUGAAUUGCAGAAUUCAGUGAAUCAUCGAAUCUUUGAACGCACAUUGCGCCCCUUGGUAUUCCGAGGGGCAUGCCUGUUCGAGCGUCAUUACACCACUCAAGCUAUGCUUGGUAUUGGGUGCCGUCCUUAGUUGGGCGCGCCUUAAAGACCUCGGCGAGGCCUCACCGGCUUUAGGCGUAGUAGAAUUUAUUCGAACGUCUGUCAAAGGAGAGGACUUCUGCCGACUGAAACCUUUAUUUUUCUAGGUUGACCUCGGAUCAGGUAGGGAUACCCGCUGAACUUAAGCAUAUCAAUAA
rnacentral:rRNA from 1 species